GUUAGGGUUAGGGUUGGAGCUAGGGUUAGGGUUAGGGUUAGGGUUGGAGUUAGGGUUAGUGUUGGAGCUAGGGUUAGGGUUGGGCUUGGAGCUAGGAUUUUUCUGAGUGCAAUGAACCAACUCCCAAGUCUCUUGGACGUUCCUAAAAAAAAUUGAUUUUUUCCCAUAGGAAUGCAUGGGUUAGGGUUAGGGUUAGGGUUGGAGCUAGGGUUAGGGUUAGGGUUAGGGUUGGAGUUAGGGUUAGUGUUGGAGCUAGGGUUAGGGUUGGGCUUGGAGCUAGGAUUUUUCUGAGUGCACUGAACCAACUCCCGAGUCUCUAGGACAUUCCUAAAAAAAUUUGAUUUUUUCCCAUAGGAAUGCAUGGGUUAGGGUUAGGGUUAGGGUUGGAGCUAGGGUUAGGGUUAGGGUUAGGGUUGGAGUUAGGGUUAGUGUUGGAGCUAGGGUUAGGGUUGGGCUUGGAGCUAGGAUUUUUCUGAGUGCAAUGAACCAACUCCCGAGUCUCUAGGAUGUUCCUAAAAAAAUGUGAUUUUUUCCCAUAGGAAUGCAUGGGUUAGGGUUAGGGUUAGGGUUGGAGCUAGGGUUAGGGUUAGGGUUAGGGUUGGAGUUAGGGUUAGUGUUGGAGCUAGGGUUAGGGUUGGGCUUGGAGCUAGGAUUUUUCUGAGUGCACUGAACCAACUCCCGAGUCUCUAGGACAUUCCUAAAAAAAAUUGAUUUUUUCCCAUAGGAAUGCAUGGGUUAGGGUUAGGGUUAGGGUUAGGGUUGGAGCUAGGGUUAGGGUUAGGGUUAGGGUUGGAGUUAGGGUUAGUGUUGGAGCUAGGGUUAGGGUUGGGCUUGGAGCUAGGAUUUUUCUGAGUGCACUGAACCAACUCCCGAGUCUCUAGGACAUUCCUAAAAAAAUUGGAUUUUUUCCCAUAGGAAUGCAUAGGUUAGGGUUAGGGUUAGGGUUGGAGCUAGGGUUAGGGUUAGGGUUAGGGUUGGAGUUAGGGUUAGUGUUGGAGCUAGGGUUAGGGUUGGGCUUGGAGCUAGGAUUUUUCUGAGUGCACUGAACCAACUCCCGAGUCUCUAGGACGUUCCUAAAAAAAAUUGAUUUUUUUCCCAUAGGAAUGCAUGGGUUCGGGUUAUGGUUAGGGUUAGGGUUGGAGCUAGGGUUAGGGUUAGGGUUAGGGUUGGAGUUAGGGUUAGUGUUGGAGCUAGGGUUAGGGUUGGGCUUGGAGCUAGGAUUUUUCUGAGUGCAAUGAACCAACUCCCAAGUCUCUUGGACGUUCCUAAAAAAAAUUGAUUUUUUCCCAUAGGAAUGCAUGGGUUAGGGUUAGGGUUAGGGUUGGAGCUAGGGUUAG